rnacentral:ncRNA from 2 species
GCUAGCAUGCGCGCCGUUGGUGCUUUGGCCGGGCGUCGUUCCGGCUGGGGUUAAACGGGAAUCAGGAGGGUGCGCGCUGGCACGGCGCGAUCCCAACCUGAGCUGCCCCCGCAACGGUAAGCGGACGGUGCUUUCGCCUCACUUCAGGCGUUGCACCCGCUCCUGUGACUGCACGCCACUGCCGGUGUUCACACACUGGUGGGAAGGCCACAGGGGUUGCCUCCGCCAGCCCGGAUACCGGCCAACCGGAGGCGCGUCAG